CAUUGAGACAAGGAUGUGCCAUUCGCAGUUUCACUGUACCGGCCGUGUGUACUUAGACUUGCAUGGCUUAAUCUUAAG